rnacentral:rRNA from 1 species
UACGUAGGGGGCUAGCGUUGUCCGGAAUCAUUGGGCGUAAAGCGCGUGUAGGCGGUCCGGUAAGUCCGCUGUGAAAGUCGGGGGGCUCAACCCUCGGAUGCCGGUGGAUACUGUCGGGCUUGAGUACGGAAGAGGCGAGUGGAAUUCCUGGUGUAGCGGUGAAAUGCGCAGAUAUCAGGAGGAACACCAAUUGCGAAGGCAGCUCGCUGGGACGUUACUGACGCUGGAGACGCGAAAGCGUGGGGAGCAAAACAGG